CUCAAAGGAAUUGACGGGGACCCMGCACAARCGGUGGAUGAAUGUGGUUKAAUUCGAUGCAACGSCGAAAAAACCWUUACCCACCUWUGACAUGUACGGAAUCCUUUAGAGAUAGAGGAGUGMUCGAAAGAGAACCGUAASACAGGUGCUGCAUGGCCUGUCGUCAGMUCGUGUCGAURAGAUGUUGGAGUAUAAGUCCCGCAAACGAGCGCAACCCGUUGCCAUUAGGUUGCUACAUUUGGUUGGGCACUCAUAAUGAGACUGCCGGUGACAAACCGGAGGAAGGUGGGGAUGACGUCAAGUCCUCAUGAGCCCUUAUAGGUGGGGCUACACACGUCAUACAAUGGAUGGUACAAAGGGUCAGCCAACCCGCGAGGGGGAGCCAAUCCCAUAAAGCCAKUSGUAGUCCGGAUCGCAGUACUGCAACUCGACUGCGUGAAGUCGGAAUCGCUAGUAAUCGUGGAUCAGAAUGUCACGGUGAAUACGUUCCCGGGUCCUUGUACACGCCGCCCGUCACACCAUGGGAGCGGGUUCUGACCAGAAGUAGUAUAGCCUAACCGCAAGGAGGGCGAAUUACCACGGCAGGGUUCGUGGACUGGGGUGAAGUGUAACAAG
rnacentral:rRNA from 1 species